GGAGCGAAACAGAUGGUCGCCGGCCGCCUGUGUGACCAAACGUCAGGCGAGCGGCGGGAGGAAAGUCCGGGCUCCACAGAACACGGUGGUGGGUAACUCCCACCGGCCGCAAGGCCAGGGAAAGUGCAACAGAAAGCAAACCGCCCGAGUGUGUGCCUCGGCACGAUUCGGGUAAGGGUGAAACGGUGAGGUAAGAGCUCACCAGCGGGCUGGGUGACCAGCCCGGCUAGGUAAACCCCACCGGGAGCAAGGCCAAGCAGGAAGCACGCGGCGCAGCACCGGCCGCAUCGCGGCACAGCAGGCACU
rnacentral:RNase_P_RNA from 1 species